rnacentral:rRNA from 1 species
GACGAACGCUGGCGGCGUGCUUAACACAUGCAAGUCGAACGGAAAGGCCCUGCUUUUGUGGGGUGCUCGAGUGGCGAACGGGUGAGUAACACGUGAGUAACCUGCCCUUGACUUUGGGAUAACUUCAGGAAACUGGGGCUAAUACCGGAUAGGAGCUCCUGCUGCAUGGUGGGGGUUGGAAAGUUUCGGCGGUUGGGGAUGGACUCGCGGCUUAGCAGCUUGUUGGUGGGGUAGUGGCGUACCAAGGCUUUGACGGGUAGCCGGCCUGAGAGGGUGACCGGCAACAUUGGGACUGAGAAACGGCCCAGCGCCCUACGGGGGGCGGCAGUGGGGAAUAGGCACAAUGGGCGGAAGCCUGAUGCAGCAACGCCGCGUGCGGGAUGACGGCCUUCGAGUUGUAAACCGCUUUCGCCUGUGACGAAGCGUGAGUGACGGUAAUGGGUAAAGAAGCACCGGCUAACUACGUG